rnacentral:lncRNA from 1 species
GGAGGUCCUAAUAUAUGUAGUCUCUUGAACCAACUUCUCCACGAUGGCAGUAAGUAUGGAAUCCUCAUUCAUCAGCCUAUUAGUCUGUGAAGCUACCUAUGAAUCUAGUUAGAUCCUAAUUUGGUUGGUCUCUUUUAAGAACCCCUUUAUUUCUAUGCAAUCCCUAAUAUCAUAUGAGGUGUAAUUUGACUUAUCUCCUUCCCCCUAAUCUGCUAGUACAGUCUUAAAAAUAUGAG